rnacentral:rRNA from 1 species
GGAUGAAUAUUGGUCAAUGGACGAAAGUCUGAACCAGCAACGCCGCGUGAGGGAUGAAGCAUCAAGGUGCGUAAACCUCUGUUAGAAGGGACGAAUAGUUCCGAUUGCAUCGGAAUCUGACGGUACCUUCAGAGAAAGCCCCGGCUAACUCCGUGCCAGCAGCCGCGGUAAUACGGGGGGGGCUAGCGUUGUCCGGAAUUAUUGGGCGUAAAGGGCGCGUAGGCGGAAUGGUAAGUCAGUGGUGAAAUUU